rnacentral:misc_RNA from 1 species
AGAAUCAAUUAAUUGUUUGUAGAGAAAUUUCCUUCGAAUCAUGUACAACAUUAUCAUCAAAAGAAAUUUUACACGCAACUAAAUUGGACGUUGUCCUAACUAAUAAAGGACUUCAAAUAUAUGGUACAUGGAGCGCAGAGAAAUUAUUAAAGUUAUUAACAAACAGACUUAAACAAUGCAUUCAUGUGCAAUCAAAUACACUGAAAAUUAUUUCUAAUGGAAUAAGUGAUAAGAGAUUAUGGAUCACUGUUUAUAGUGGCUUAUAUAGUAUUAGCGUUUUAAAGGAAUUAAGAAAGAAAGGU